rfam:Danio rerio chromosome 25, GRCz11 reference primary assembly.
CUAAAGGCUCUUUUCAGAGCCACCCACUUUCUCUAUGAAAAGAGC